rnacentral:lncRNA from 1 species
CUGCUGAACAAGAGGAUGAUGAAGUAUUGGGCCAACUUUGCAUGAAAUGGGGUGUGUCCACAGAGAUCCCAAUGGUCAGGACCUGCCCUCCUGGCCUCCAUUGGACCUUGAGGAGCAGCACCUGCAGUUGAACAUCCCACCUUUCGUGGGCCAUGCUCUGAAGGCCUCUAGGCUGAAGUUCUGGACAGAGACACUGCCUCGCCAGUUGGGUGCUGCUCAGGAGAACCAAGCAGGCCGUUGGUGGUCUUUACACUUAAGCCUGCUAUUAUCUGCACUGAGUCUGCACACACUGUGAGGGCCAUGGCUGCACGAUCUGCAUGAUCAUUGUGGAUCUGCAAAGAAGUUGAGCUUUGAGAUAUUUCAUCCACAUGGGAUUGUGGCUUAGAAGAUCCACACAUCUGUCUCCGUGAGAGUCUUUCCAUCCAGGGAGGUGUCAUCUUGCAUUUCAGAAUUGUCUUGCAUUCUCCUGACUCCCUGAUGAUCCCCCACUCUUCUCUGUCAUCAUGUUAUUAAGAUUCCUUCUCACCUCAUUGUUGUCCCUGAACUUCUU